rfam:Trichobilharzia regenti genome assembly, scaffold: TRE_scaffold0077967
AUCCAGAUGACGAGUCCCAAAUAAGACGAAGUGUGUAUCCCGGAU